UGAGUAACCUGCCCUUAACUCUGGGAUAACUCCGGGAAACCGGGGCUAAUACCGGAUAUGACUCCUCAUCGCAUGGUGGGGGGUGAAAGCUUUAUUGUGGUUUUGGAUGGACUCGCGGCCUAUCAGCUAGUUGGUGGGUAAUGGCUCACCAAGGCGACGACGGGUANCUGGUCUGAGAGGAUGGCCAGCCANAGUUGGGACUGAGACACGGCCCAGACCUCCGUAGGGAGCAG
rnacentral:rRNA from 1 species